GUUAGCUCAGUUGGUCAGAGCGUGGUGCUAAUAACGCCAAGGUCAUGGGUUCGACCCCCAUA
rnacentral:tRNA from 1 species